UACGGGAGGCAGCAGUGGGGAAUUUUGGACAAUGGGCGAAAGCCUGAUCCAGCCAUGCCGCGUGCAGGAUGAAGGCCUUCGGGUUGUAAACUGCUUUUGUACGGAACGAAAAGCCUCUUUCUAAUAAAGAGGGGUCAUGACGGUACCGUAAGAAUAAGCACCGGCUAACUACGUGCCAGCAGCCGCGGUAAUACGUAGGGUGCAAGCGUUAAUCGGAAUUACUGGGCGUAAAGCGUGCGCAGGCGGUUUUUGUAAGACAGAGGUGAAAUCCCCGGGCUCAACCUGGGAACUGCCUUUGUGACUGCAAGGCUGGAGUGCGGCAGAGGGGGAUGGAAUUCCGCGUGUAGCAGUGAAAUGCGUAGAUAUGCGGAGGAACACCGGAUGGCGAAGGCAAUCCCCUGGGCCUGCACUGACGCUCAUGCACGAAAGCGUGGGGAGCAAACAGGGAUUAGGAUACCCUCUGAGACUCAAGGGCACAACAAGGGGAUA
rnacentral:rRNA from 1 species